rnacentral:rRNA from 1 species
UGCCAGCCGCCGCGGUAACACGAACUGCGCAAACGUUAUCCGGAUUCAUUGGGUUUAAAGGGUGCGCAGGCGGGCUUGUAAGUCAGUGGUGAAAUACUGCCGCUUAACGGUAGAACUGCCAUCGAUACUGCAAGUCUUGAAUAUGGUUGAGGUAGGCGGAAUGUGUCGUGUAGCGGUGAAAUGCAUAGAUAUGACACAGAACGCCGAUUGCGAAGGCAGCUUACUAAGCCAUUAUUGACGCUGAGGCACGAAAGCGUGGGGAGCGAACAGGAUUAGAUA